rfam:Nicotiana sylvestris Nsyl_contig220881, whole genome shotgun sequence.
GCUCUCGUAGCUCAAUUGGUUAGAGCACCUGUUUAGUAAGCGGAGGUCUUGAGUUCGACUCUCUACAAGAGCA